rnacentral:rRNA from 1 species
UACGUAGGGGGCAAGCGUUGUCCGGAAUCAUUGGGCGUAAAGAGCGUGUAGGCGGCUUGGUAAGUCCGCUGUGAAAGUCCAGGGCUCAACCCUGGAAUGCCGGUGGAAACUGUCAGGCUCGAGUCCGGAAGAGGCGGGUGGAAUUCCUGGUGUAGCGGUGAAAUGCGCAGAUAUCAGGAGGAACACCAAUGGCGAAGGCAGCUCGCUGGGACGGUACUGACGCUGAGACGCGAAAGCGUGGGGAGCAAACAGG